CCUACGGGAGGCAGCAGUGAGGAAUAUUGGACAAUGGGCGCAAGCCUGAUCCAGCCAUGCCGCGUGCAGGAUGACGGUCCUAUGGAUUGUAAACUGCUUUUAUACAGGAAGAAACACCUCUACGUGUAGAGACUUGACGGUACUGUAAGAAUAAGGAUCGGCUAACUCCGUGCCAGCAGCCGCGGUAAUACGGAGGAUCCAAGCGUUAUCCGGAAUCAUUGGGUUUAAAGGGUCCGUAGGCGGUUUAGUAAGUCAGUGGUGAAAGCCCAUCGCUCAACGGUGGAACGGCCAUUGAUACUGCUAGACUUGAAUUAUUAGGAAGUAACUAGAAUAUGUAGUGUAGCGGUGAAAUGCUUAGAGAUUACAUGGAAUACCGAUUGCGAAGGCAGGUUACUACUAAUUGAUUGACGCUGAUGGACGAAAGCGUGGGUAGCGAACAGGAUUAGAUACCCUGGUAGUCCACGCCGUAAACGAUGGAUACUAGCUGUUGGGGGCAACUUCAGUGGCUAAGCGAAAGUGAUAAGUAUCCCACCUGGGGAGUACGAACGCAAGUUUGAAACUCAAAGGAAUUGACGG
rnacentral:rRNA from 1 species